UUUAGCAAAUUCUCUAUAGAGAAUUCAAAAAUCGAGCGUGAGGGCGGCGCGAGCGGUUGCGCGAAGAACUAGUAGCGAACUACUAGCGAAUCUGGCGGAAAAACAAUCAAAACCUCUUCUGACAGUUCCCACGCGAAGCAAUUUCCUCGAAUUAACUUGCGCAGUUCUUGUGGAAAAAUCGGGAAAAUAUUGAAGAAAGUCCCGUAAAACCCAGUGAAAAGGUGUGUAAAAACUCUUGAAUAUAUUUCUUUGUGCUGCAAAGUGAGAAAAAAUAGGUGUAUUUGUGAAAAAUUGCAUCAACGGCGACCAGCGAAAUUCUCUGGAGGUGUCAUUCCACAGUUUCCAGGUAUGAAACCGCAGCAAAAAUUGCUACGGGUCCACACCAGAACAUGCUAGAGCACCCUUCAUCGCUAAUCUCCGGAAGUGAACCCCCAUUGCCCAUUCAAAAAGAGCCACGAAUCUGGCGUCCUCCCCACUUCACUGGUGAAGACCGACUGAGCGAUAUCGUCACUUGAAGUUAGCUGUGGUUACAACACCUCUCAAAGUUACACCCCAACUGGACAAUGAUUGGUACUGUUGGCUUAGAAGAGUCUUUGUCGAGACGGGCUUUCUCCCCAACUCCUCUAGGCUCCACAGUCCUACUACAAUACAUUGGUACCACAUCUUUUGAUGGAAAGCAAUACGCACCACUAAUUAAGUGUGAUCGUUUCUUUCCUCAGAUGUCACGAUGAACAGCAUCUUUUUAUUUCAAGUGGUAACAGACCAUCAGAAUGGAUUGUAUGCAAUAUCAUACGGUAUAAGAGAUCCUGGUAAAAGGCAUAUGAAUAUAUCAUUUGUGUUUUGCUGAUUUGUGUUAUAGAAACAAAUUCUAUUAGAUGGACUUAAGCUUGAAAGGCAUUCAAUUGUUCAGAAUAAUUAUAAAAAGCAAUGUAUUUAUUAAAAUCUAUUUUUAAAAUAAAUUUACUGUCUAU